UACGUAGGGUGCGAGCGUUAAUCGGAAUUACUGGGCGUAAAGCGUGCGCAGGCGGUUUUGUAAGCCAGAUGUGAAAGCCCCGGGCUUAACCUGGGAAUGGCAUUUGGGACUGCAAGGCUUGAGUGCGGCAGAGGAGACUGGAAUUCCUGGUGUAGCAGUGAAAUGCGUAGAUAUCAGGAGGAAUACCGAUGGCGAAGGCAGGUCUCUGGGCUGACACUGACGCUCAUGCACGGAAAGCGUGGGGAGCAAACAGGAUUAGAGUAC
rnacentral:rRNA from 1 species